AACUGUGGAGAAGCUGUAAACUUUGCUAUUGGUGAUUGGUUUCCACUCGGGGCUGCAGCUAGCAAACGUUAAGCAUUGCUUAUCUACAACUCCUCGAAAGAUAGAGGUUACAAAAUCAAACCUGAAGACACAGCAUCUUAUCGACCUAUCAUACUGUCUUUCUUGCAUCUUAUUCAAUUUUAUAAGACAUCGCCAUCUUGGUUGAAAAGUUCGAGAAAGCUGUCAAGUUAUUCAAAUACAUCAUUAGCUUCUGUGACAUGCAGCCUCUGCUCUAGAGAUUGUCAUGUAGCUUUCUUGUUGUGCAAGAAAUGCUAUUCCGAUCCAAUUUGCCUUUUCCAUAACAUUGUGCCCCAAAAUUGUUUAUGUGGGAGAGAACAUACUGUAUUUAAGAGGAACUUGAAGAUGCCGCCAAAAGUUUUCAAAAGGAAAAAGAAUACAUGAACGCGUUAUCUUUAACAGAUUUAUUCUCUUGUAACAUAAAUCAAGGCAUCAAAGAACUCAAGAAUAAUAAUUGGCAUGAGGAAAAAAGUGCUAGAAGAACUGUUAGCUCGCUAGGUGCAACAUCUAAACCGAAAACACGAGUUGCAAACAACAUCAAGCAUGCCGUUGAAAAGACUCAAAAGAAGCCAAAGAAUCGUAGUAGAAACAAUGCGUCUCCAUGAGUGAUGAGUACCAAAAGAGCACAAAUCCUUUAUAACUUGAGAAAACAUGAAUCAGAACUAAUUAUCAAAGUUCCUGCAGUAUCUUCCCUUUUGGCGACAUCUGAAAAUUCAAAGUAAGCUGUCAUCUUACUUGCAGAUGACAAAAAAGGCACUUUUCAGAUUGUGGUAGAUUAAUUUAGUAUUUUCAUUCUUUUCA